rnacentral:rRNA from 1 species
UACAGAGGUCCCAAGCGUUGUUCGGAUUCAUUGGGCGUAAAGGGUGCGUAGGUGGUGCCGUAAGUCAGGUGUGAAAUCUCGGGGCUCAACCCCGAAACUGCACUUGAUACUGCGGUGCUCGAGGACUGGAGAGGAGAUUGGAAUUCAUGGUGUAGCAGUGAAAUGCGUAGAUAUCAUGAGGAAGACCAGUGGCGAAGGCGGAUCUCUGGACAGUUCCUGACACUGAGGCACGAAGGCCAGGGGAGCAAACGGG